rnacentral:rRNA from 1 species
GACGAACCGAGUGAACGUUAUUCGGAAUCACUGGGCUUAAAGGGCGCGUAGGCGGACUGUCAAGUCAGGGGUGAAAGCCCGCGGCUCAACCGCGGAAGUGCCUUUGAUACUGGCGGUCUCGAGGGAGGUAGGGGCGUGCGGAACUUCCGGUGGAGCGGUGAAAUGCGUAGAUAUCGGGAGGAACACCAGUGGCGAAGGCGGCUCUCUGGGCAGAUACUGACGCUGAGACGCGAAAGCGUGGGUAGCAAACAGG